rnacentral:tRNA from 3 species
UUCCCGGCUAGCACAACGGUAGCUGCGCUCGGCUCUGGACCGAGAGGUUUGAGGUUCGAAUCCUUGGCCGGGAGCCCA